GAGUGACAGCACAGUUGUCGCGGCUAAGCCUUGUUGGGUUUUUAUUAAGAUUUAUAUCAAUAUGGAUUCUAUUCGUUCGGGAAUUUUUAUGUCGCUGUUCUGUGUUUUAUUACCUUUAGCACAAUCUCAUUGGAUAGGUGGUUGGGGAGGACCUCCUGUGGUAGUGGGCGGCUUCGGGUGGGGGGGAGGCUUUUACCGACCACCUCCCCCACCGUUCUUUGGCCCCCCUCCGCCACCCUUCUUCGGCCCACCGCCUCCUCCGCCAUUUCCGUUCUACGGAUGAUCCUGGAAUUGUUUUGAAAUACGAUGUUUUCUGUUUACUUCAGCUUACUUGUACCUGGAUGUUUACUUAGUUAUACAAUAGCGACGUUCAUUAAAUAUUCUCAAUUUAAUUAUAAUAUUUUUUGUUAUGUAUUAAAUUCUCAAGUAUUA